CCUGGUUGAUCCUGCCAGUAAUCAUAUGCUUGUCUCAAAGAUUAAGCCAUGCAUGUCUAAUGACAUGCCGAAAUAAGGCGAAACCGCGAAUGGCUCAUUAAAUCAGUUAUGGUUCCUUAGAUCGUUUCUUCCUACUUGGAUAACUGUGGCAAUUCUAGAGCUAAUACAUGCAGUGAGCCUGGAGCCCUUUGGGUAACGGGUGCUUUUAUUAGACCAAGAUCGAUCGGGUUUCGGCCCGUAUUGUGUGGUGACUCUGGAUAACUUUGUGCUGAUCGCAUGGCCACCGGCGACGUUUCUUUAAGUGUCUGCCUUAUCAACUUUCGAUGGUAGGUUACUUGCUUACCAUGGUUGUUACGGGUAACGGAGAAUCAGGGUUCGAUUCCGGAGAGGGAGCCUGAGAAACGGCUACCAGAUCCAAGGAAGGCAGCAGGCGCGCAAAUUACCCACUCCCGGCACGGGGAGGUAGUGACGAAAAAUAACAAUACGGGACUCUUUUGAGGCCCCGUAAUUGAAAUGAGUACACUCUAAAUCCUUUAACGAGGAUCAAUUGGAGGGCAAGUCUGGUGCCAGCAGCCGCGGUAAUUCCAGCUCCAAUAGAGCGUACUAAAGCUGCUGCGGUUAAAAAGCUCGUAGUUGGAUCUCAGUUCCAGACGAGUAGUGCAUCUACCCGAUGCGACGGCUCGGACUGAACAUCAUGCCGGUUCUUUCUUGGUGCACUUCAUUGUGUGCCUCGAGAUGGCCGGUGCUUUUACUUUGAAAAAAUUAGAGUGCUCAACGCAGGCGAGUCGCCUGAAUAAACUUGCAUGGAAUAAUAGAACAAGACCUCGUUUCUGUUCUGUUGGUUUUUGGAAUACGAGGUAAUGAUUAAGAGGGACGGAUGGGGGCAUUCGUAUUGCGGCGCUAGAGGUGAAAUUCUUGGACCGUCGCAAGACGAACUACUGCGAAAGCAUUUGCC
rnacentral:rRNA from 1 species